rnacentral:rRNA from 1 species
UACGAAGGGGGCUAGCGUUGUUCGGAAUUACUGGGCGUAAAGGGCGCGUAGGCGGUGUGUCAAGUCAGGCGUGAAAGCCCCGGGCUCAACCUGGGAACCGCGCUUGAGACUGGCACGCUCGAGUUCGGGAGAGGAUGGUGGAAUUCCCAGUGUAGAGGUGAAAUUCGUAGAUAUUGGGAAGAACACCGAUGGCGAAGGCAGCCAUCUGGACCGACACUGACGCUGAGGAGCGAAAGCAUGGGGAGCGAACAGG